rnacentral:tRNA from 1 species
AGAAGAGUAUCUUCAUUAUUUGAAAUGUAUUAUAAAUACCUAGUUCUGGUUGUUCUUUUA